rnacentral:rRNA from 1 species
CCUACGGGAGGCUGCAGUGGGGAAUAUUGCACAAUGGGGGAAACCCUGAUGCAGCGACGCCGCGUGAAGGAAGAAGUAUUUCGGUAUGUAAACUUCUAUCAGCAGGGAAGAAAAUGACGGUACCUGACUAAGAAGCCCCGGCUAACUACGUGCCAGCAGCCGCGGUAAUACGUAGGGGGCAAGCGUUAUCCGGAUUUACUGGGUGUAAAGGGAGCGUAGGCGGCGAUGCAAGUCAGUAGUGAAAGCCCGGGGCUCAACUCCGGGACUGCUUUUGAAACUGUAUGGCUAGAUUGCGGGAGAGGUAAGUGGAAUUCGUGGUGUAGCGGUGAAAUGCGUAGAUAUUAGGAGGAACACCAGUGGCGAAGGCAGCUUGCGGGACUGUAAAUGACGCUGAGGCUCGAAAGCGUGGGGAGCAAACAGGAUUAGAUACCCGAGUAGUC